AUGAACGCUAGCGACAGGCUUAACACAUGCAAGUCGAGGGGCAGCGGGGGUAGCGAUACCCGCCGGCGACCGGCGCACGGGUGAGUAACGCGUAUGCAACUUGCCUAUCAGAGGGGGAUAACCCGGCGAAAGUCGGACUAAUACCGCAUGAAGCAGGGGCCCCGCAUGGGGGUAUUUGCUAAAGAUUCAUCGCUGAUAGAUAGGCAUGCGUUCCAUUAGGCAGUUGGCGGGGUAACGGCCCACCAAACCGACGAUGGAUAGGGGUUCUGAGAGGAAGGUCCCCCACAUUGGUACUGAGACACGGACCAAACUCCUACGGGAGGCAGCAGUGAGGAAUAUUGGUCAAUGGCCGAGAGGCUGAACCAGCCAAGUCGCGUGAGGGAUGAAGGUUCUAUGGAUCGUAAACCUCUUUUAUAAGGGAAUAAAGUGCGGGACGUGUCCCGUUUUGUAUGUACCUUAUGAAUAAGGAUCGGCUAACUCCGUGCCAGCAGCCGCGGUAAUACGGAGGAUCCGAGCGUUAUCCGGAUUUAUUGGGUUUAAAGGGUGCGUAGGCGGCCUUUUAAGUCAGCGGUGAAAGUCUGUGGCUCAACCAUAGAAUUGCCGUUGAAACUGGGGGGCUUGAGUAUGUUUGAGGCAGGCGGAAUGCGUGGUGUAGCGGUGAAAUGCAUAGAUAUCACGCAGAACCCCGAUUGCGAAGGCAGCCUGCCAAGCCAUGACUGACGCUGAUGCACGAAAGCGUGGGGAUCAAACAGGAUUAGAUACCCUGGUAGUCCACGCAGUAAACGAUGAUCACUAGCUGUUUGCGAUACAUUGUAAGCGGCACAGCGAAAGCGUUAAGUGAUCCACCUGGGGAGUACGCCGGCAACGGUGAAACUCAAAGGAAUUGACGGGGACCCGCACAAGCGGUGGAACAUGUGGUUUAAUUCGAUGAUACGCGAGGAACCUUACCCGGGUUUGAACGCAUUCGGACCGAGGUGGAAACACCUUUUCUAGCAAUAGCCGUUUGCGAGGUGCUGCAUGGUUGUCGUCAGCUCGUGCCGUGAGGUGUCGGCUUAAGUGCCAUAACGAGCGCAACCCUUGCCACUAGUUACUAACAGGUAAAGCUGAGGACUCUGGUGGGACUGCCAGCGUAAGCUGCGAGGAAGGCGGGGAUGACGUCAAAUCAGCACGGCCCUUACAUCCGGGGCGACACACGUGUUACAAUGGCGUGGACAAAGGGAAGCCACCUGGCGACAGGGAGCGAAUCCCCAAACCACGUCUCAGUUCGGAUCGGAGUCUGCAACCCGACUCCGUGAAGCUGGAUUCGCUAGUAAUCGCGCAUCAGCCAUGGCGCGGUGAAUACGUUCCCGGGCCUUGUACACACCGCCCGUCACACCAUGGAAGUCGACCACGCCCGAAGCACGUGAGCUAACCUUUUGGAGGCAGCGUUCUAAGGCAGGGUUGGUGACUGGGGUG
rnacentral:rRNA from 1 species